rnacentral:rRNA from 1 species
AUUGAACGCUGGCGGCAGGCCUAACACAUGCAAGUCGAGCGGUAGAGAGAAGCUUGCUUCUCUUGAGAGCGGCGGACGGGUGAGUAAUGCCUAGGAACCUGCCUGGUAGUGGGGGAUAACGUUCGGAAACGGACGCUAAUACAGCAUACGUCCUACGGGAGAAAGCAGGGGACCUUCGGGCCUUGCGCUAUCAGAUGAGCCUAGGUCGGAUUAGCUAGUUGGUGGGGUAAUGGCUCACCAAGGCGACGAUCCGUAACUGGUCUGAGAGGAUGAUCAGUCACACUGGAACUGAGACACGGUCCAGACUCCUACGGCAGGCAGCAGUGGGGAAUAUUGGACAAUGGGCGAAAGCCUGAUCCAGCCAUGCCGCGUGUGUGAAGAAGGUCUUCGGAUUGUAAAGCACUUUAAGUUGGGAGGAAGGGCAGUAAAUUAAUACUUUGCUGUUUUGACGUUACCGACAGAAUAAGCACCGGCUAACUCUGUGCCAGCCGCCGCUGUAA